UUUUUUUCAUUCCGCCGCAGUCUCUUCUUCUUCUGUCUCCUAUUUCUGUCUGUUCUCUCAAAAUUUGAAUGAACGUCUUUGGCCGUCUUCUUCUUGUCAUGAUGCGAAGAUUCAAAUACUAUGUAAGCGUAACUUCUAAAGAAGUUUACGUCUACAAUGGUUUAUAUAGAACUACAACUAUGGUGGGAAGUGUUUUGAGCUGUAGGAUCCAACUCAGGCAAAACAUUUAUUUCAGAGAAUAAAGCGCUCGCUCAACUCAUGAAUCGAACCCCAAACAUAUCCCAACCUUCAACUCCAUCAGCUGCAUCGAUUGCUUGUUCAUCUGGACACCAAUGGUCAAAGAUUUGAUGGUGUAGGAAAAAGGGUUUCAGGUUGUGGCGGUGGUGAUGGUACAAAACCUUCAAGUUUUAUGGUAGGUGGAAUAAUUGUAUAAGAUGAAAUCAGAUUUUAGAACUAGUUAGAAGUUGUGUAAUAUGGAUUAAUGUAAUUGUAAACCAAUGAAAUAAAAUGUAAUUAGUUGAAUGUGUUCUU